UUGCCCAUGGCUAAAUAUCCAUUAUAUUGAAAAUAAUGUAUCAAAUUAAUUAUGUGGACCACACAAGCUCAUAUUAUUGCAUUUUUAUGCACUGUAUUCUCCUAGUCUUUUUAUUUAUUUAUAUUUUUAUAUAUUACUUUAAUUCUAUCCUAGUGGUGAAAUACCUACUUUGGUACAUUGGGAUGUUUGCUGAGUCAGUUCAUCCCAAUAUUAAUAAAUUGCAUUAGAUAAUGACCAUGCACUUAUAUGUCUACAUAGAGCUGUGCUCUACAUUUGGCUCUAAUUGAUAAAUAGCUUUGUUAAAUGCACAAACCACAAAAAUCACUUUAACAGUCUCAUUCAUACCCUGCUCUUUUCUUAUCUGCACUUUUUAAACAGUGACCUGUUGCGUCUGCUAGGGAAAUGCUCUGUCUUUAUGUUAAUGUCAGCUUGAGUAAUUUGUUGGCCCCAUAAAAACAAAUCAUGGCCUUAUGGAGAUUGGCUCCGGUUAACCUUUAUUCUAACAACAAGUGCACUGUGCAAAGCAAAUAAAUGCCUGGGUCACAGUGACUGCAAAGAGGUUGUACUGUGUGAGUAACAUAUAUCCCAUCCCAUCCAAGAUUUAUCCAGCUGAUGAACAAUUGUUACUAGAGCUGCUUUGAAGUAUUUAGAACACAAGCAAAAUAAAUAUUCUGCUUGAAAAUUCCACAUGGAGUCACAAGGGACAUCUGGAAUAUAAUACACAAAGUACAAUGCGUAUAAUUUCCACCACAGUGGAUUUCUCUUUGUGCUCCAUACAUAUUGUAGCAAGGCUGCGUAUUUUAUUUUAUUGUGUAAUAGUGUAUGCGGGACCAUAUAUGUUGUAUCAAGGUGGCUGAAGCAAUUUGUGAAUCCAAAAUGUGUUUUGGUUCAUAUUUUACAAGGGUAUUUAUCGGGUGUUUCUCUUCAAGCUACAAGUUGCCAACAUGCCCCUUAAUGGUAAUCGUUUUCUAGGGACUAUCGAAACAUCUGAUGUAAUAGAGAGUCACAAGAGCAAGAAACCCUGCCCAUGAGUGACCGGUGAUGCUUUUUUUAAAAUUUGUGACGAGGGUAAGUGUAAGUCACAAUUUUGACCAUCUACUAAUAAACAUGAGAAGAUGCUGGAGGUAGGUGGACACAAGUGAGCGAAAGACAUCUAACAGCAUAAACAUUUUGAAUUUUAAAUCAGAAAUGGGGGGGGGAGGGGGAGUGGAUAUGAAAUAAGUAUUUAGUGUAAAAUGUUGAGUAAAACACUCUGGAUUCUGGAUCCC